GCAAGUCGAACGGUAACAGGAAACAGCUUGCUGUUUCGCUGACGAGUGGCGGACGGGUGAGUAAUGUCUGGGAAACUGCCUGAUGGAGGGGGAUAACUACUGGAAACGGUAGCUAAUACCGCAUAAUGUCGCAAGACCAAAGAGGGGGACCUUCGGGCCUCUUGCCAUCGGAUGUGCCCAGAUGGGAUUAGCUAGUAGGUGGGGUAACGGCUCACCUAGGCGACGAUCCCUAGCUGGUCUGAGAGGAUGACCAGCCACACUGGAACUGAGACACGGCCCAGACUCCUACGGGAGGCAGCAGUGGGGAAUAUUGCACAAUGGGCGCAAGCCUGAUGCAGCCAUGCCGCGUGUAUGAAGAAGGCCUUCGGGUUGUAAAGUACUUUCAGCGGGGAGGAAGGGAGUAAAGUUAAUACCUUUGCUCAUUGACGUUACCCGCAGAAGAAGCACCGGCUAACUCCGUGCCAGCAGCCGCGGUAAUACGGAGGGUGCAAGCGUUAAUCGGAAUUACUGGGCGUAAAGCGCACGCAGGCGGUUUGUUAAGUCAGAUGUGAAAUCCCCGGGCUCAACCUGGGAACUGCAUCUGAUACUGGCAAGCUUGAGUCUCGUAGAGGGGGGUAGAAUUCCAGGUGUAGCGGUGAAAUGCGUAGAGAUCUGGAGGAAUACCGGUGGCGAAGGCGGCCCCCU
rnacentral:rRNA from 1 species